GAUGAACGCUAGCGGCAGGCUUAAUACAUGCAAGUCGAACGGUAACAGGCCCUUCGGGUGCUGACGAGUGGCGGACGGGUGAGUAAAGCGUAGGAAUCUGCCCAGUUGAACGGGAUAGCUUAGGGAAACUUAAGGUAAUACCGUAUAAGCCCGAGAGGGGAAAGCAGGGGACUGUUAAAGGCCUUGCGCGAUUGGAUGAGCCUACGUCGGAUUAGCUAGUUGGUGGGGUAAAGGCCUACCAAGGCGACGAUCCGUAGCUGGUCUGAGAGGACGACCAGCCACACUGGGACUGAGACACGGCCCAGACUCCUACGGGAGGCAGCAGUGGGGAAUAUUGGACAAUGGGCGCAAGCCUGAUCCAGCGAUGCCGCGUGUGUGAAGAAGGCCUGCGGGUU
rnacentral:rRNA from 1 species